ensembl:lncRNA
AUAUAUAUAUAUAUAUAUAUAUAUAUAUAUAAAAAUAUAGUAAUACAGGAAAUGGAUGUGAUUUAGUUCUUUUUAUUGUUCAAUGCUGAAAAAAAAUGUAAAGGCAAAAUGUCCCUUUCCCUUUCUCCUUCUUUUGCGUUACUGGAGAUGUUGUACAAGACGUCCGUCUUACCCUGUCGUACAUCCUGCCUCCCUUCCCCCCGCCCCAAAACGAUGCUUUUAUAUUUUAUUUUUCCUCUUGAGCAGAAUAUCCUUGUCUGUAAGCUUGUUCUUGUUACGCCAUACCGAUCUCUCUCCUGUUCUGCCGCUUCUCUGUUUCUACUGCUAGUGUAAGUGAAAUGUGGCCGUCCGGGCUCCGUGGGGUCACGCGACAGGUUCCGCGCGGCAGCGAGUACCAGCACGCGCCGUCGUAGUCGGUGGAGGAGCAAUGCUAACGUUUCCGAUCGGCUUCCGCGUGUCGAACGGUUUUGCUGUAAACGCAGGACACCGGGUGAUAUCAAGCAGCUCGGCGGAAUUUUAAAUUUUUUUUUCUAAUUUAUUUGUUUUCGUUUGUUACUACGAUUUUAUACUAUAUUCGAAUUUUUUUUUUAAUGCUUUUCUAUCAGGGUACGGUCCAGAAGAUUCUCUCCAAGGGAACCGUGGACCUUAAAAUAAAACUAUAAAAAAAAAAGCACCUUUCUUUAUUAGAAGAGCCAGGCUACUUUUAAGAAAUUGUUGGCUGAUGAAUUGUUGAAAGCACCUUAUGAGGCAGAAUGCACUUAGCGUGAAAUGCACUUAAAUAUCACACGAGUAACACUAUGGAGAAUGUCCUUUUUUCAGUCCAUCGUAAUGGGAGAUUGACGUGAGUUCAGGAGGUGUGUUUAAUCUAACCGAAGUCAGUAUUAAUAUUACAGACGAUGAGAGAUUGCUUACAGAGUGGACGUUUUUUAAAAUAAAUAAAUAAGUAAAUAAAUAGGUUAAAUCGUAGGACAUGGAGUGUCUACCUAAAUAUCCCCACUCUGGCAUAACAUCAGUCGAAACUAAUCACUUCUUUACUGCCUUGUGUUUUUAAUUACUUUUUUUUGGUUUUUUUGGUUUUGCUUCGUUAUGCUUCCGAAUUUUUCUGAGCUGCAGAAGUUGUGUUUGAGACGUUUCUAGUCUUAGCGCCCCCUAGUGGAUCCCUGUGUCCUGCGCUUUCAGGAAAAGCUCCUGUUUCAGCUAGAGACCCCUCAGAGCCCGCUGGCAAAAUGUGCAUGUGUUAACUACAGAUUCUUUUUCCAUUAUAAAGAAUAAAAAUAAAAAAAAACAGUUUGUAAAGAGCAACUGGUUGAAUAAAUGAUGUUCUUGACUGCAUAAACGUGUGUGUGUUUUUAAUUCUAAAAAAGGAAAUUGUGUUUCCAAAGGGAAGGAAGGAAGGAAGGAAGGAAGGAAGAAGUAAGGAAGGAAGGAAAAAAGGACAGAUGGAAAAAGUAAGGAGGAAGGAAGGAAAGAAGGAAAACAAAGGAAGGACGAAGGAAGGGAGAAGUAAGAAAAGAAAGAGGGAAGGAACUAGGACAGAGUAAGUAAGACUUACGGAAGGAAUGAACAAGGAAGGGGGAAUGAAGGAAGGAAGUAAUGAGGAGGGACGGGAGAACGGAGGAAGGAAGAAGAAGGAAGGAAAGAAGUAAUGAUGGGGCAAGGAAGAAAAGAAUGAAGGAAAGUAAGGAAAGGAGUAAAAAGUAAGUAAUGAUGGAAUUAGGAGAGAGUCAGAAUUAAGGAAGGAGGGGGAAGGAAUGAAUUAAGUAAGAAGGAAGUAAAGAAGGAGGAAGGAAGGAUAGAACGAAGAAGGAAGGAAGGAGUAAGGAAGAAGGAAAGAAGGGGGAAGGAAGGAAGGAAGGAUAGAACGAAGAAGGAAGGAGGAAGGAACAAGGAAGGAAAGAAGUGGGAAGGAAGGAAGGAUAGAACGAAGAAGGAAGGAGGAAGGAACAAGGAAGGAAAGAAAUAAAGAGGGAAGGAAAGAAAUAAGGGAAGGAAUAAGUAAGUGAUUUAUUUACAAACACAUUUAAACAAUGAAAGUUGCUGCACAUAGUUACCAUCACAAAAAAAAGGAGCAAGUAAAGAGAAUAAAAAUGGGUAUAGACAAUAAAAGAAAGAAAUAUAAAUAGAGGAAAGAAGGAACUACUUUUCUUCAAGUAAAAAAAAAAAAUGUAAAUAAAAUGCUAAUUUAGACACACAAAAAAACCACCCUCCGCACAGUCACUGCACAGUCACAGUCCCCCUUAACCUUCAGCCGAGAUCAGCAGCUGCUCCGAGGACCUGUUACAGUAAAAUAAUCAGUGACGGACUGGUGUGAUGUGGCCUGGAAGAGGAAGUACAGGAAGUUCUGUGCUUAGGACUGUAACAGGAAGUCGCAGUCAUCAGCACAGAAUUAAGUGCACAGGAGACUGUUUAGCAACGCUGAGACACGCAGUUAGCAUGAUGCUAAACCGGUGGCUAUAAUCGUCACUUACAGCUCCAGUGCAAGACGUCACACACUGAGCGUCUUGUAUAACUGGCUGGGGUUUUUGUGUUUGUCAUCGUUGUGACCGGAGUAUUGUGUUAAUUCUGCUUUUGGGCUUGAACUAUCGCUACCGUCCUCACGUCUCACACCAGCGUUAGAGCUUUUUUUUGUUCAAAUCAAACACGAGUCGGCUCAGAGAAGCUGAAACAGAGCCCCAGGGUCAGCUCCACCGAUUUUACACACACAAAUUACAGAUGUGCUGUCUUGGUGUUUCGUGGCCUUUAACCAACAGCCACGGGGAGAAAGAAAAAAAAAAAGCCUCGUCGUGGAAACUGAAGUUUAAAUCCAACCCGCGUCCGAGACACUUUAUCAACGUAAUGAAUUCUGAAGGCCGAUUACUCAUAGCACGCAGUUCAGUGGAUCGCUUACACUGAAAACGCUCCAAGCCCACAUAUAUACGUGCUCUGUAAUUUAGUGUGCCUGUUAGGACCUGACGUUACUGAAGAGGACGUGCUGGGUCGCUGUAGGGCUUUAACCUGAAGUGCCAUUAGUUCUGAGAAUUUAAACCCGAGCCGUGUCUCUAUCCAUCAAUCACUCCGUUAAAGAAAAAAAAAAUGGGGGGGGGGGGGUGUUAAUGUGGUGUAGCACAAGUGUUUCUAGUUUAGUUCGUUUCUGUUAUUUCUUUUUUUAUUGUUUAUUUCAAAUGACCAAAAAAAUCGACACUGUUUUAAUAUCGCCACUGUACUAGACAGCAUUAUAAUGCUAAAUGAACAGAUAAAUAAACAAACAAACAAAUCAAUCAUUCAACCUUGAAGAUUUCUGACCAAACAAUAAGUAAUCGUUUCAUAAUAUUGGAAUUAUUAUUUCUUCGCCAUUUUAUUUCCGAUAAAUUGUCAUUAAGGAAAGGGUGCAUAGCGGUUAGCACGUUCGCCUCACGCCUCCAGGGUCGGGGGUUCGAUUCCCACCGAGGCCCUGUGUGUGCGGAGUUUGCAUGUUCUCCCCGUGCUGCGGGGGUUUCCUCCGGGUACUCCGGUUUCCUCCCCCAGUCCAAAGACAUGCACGGUAGGCUGAUUGGCGUGUCUAAAGUGUCCGUAGUGUAUGAAUGGGUAUGUGAUUGUGCCCUGUGAUGGAUUGGUACCCUGUCCAGGGUGUACCCCGCCUUGUGAUCCUCCCUGGGAUAGGCUCCAGGUUUCCCCAUGACCCUGAAAAGGAUAGAGCGGUAUAGAAGAUGGAUGGAUGUCAUUAAGGACAUGAAUAUUAAUGUUGCCUCUAUGCGUUGUUGUUGUUUUGUUUUAGCUUGUUUAGCUCUGAAUCUCAUGAACACGAGAAGUUCCUGCGUUUCAUUUCCAGCGGUCUGUAUUCGUAGCACUAAAACACUACAUGACCUUCUGCUCUUUACACUCCAGCUUUCUAUUCCAGGCAUUAAGAAGAACUCAGCAGGAGGUUUUGGGGCUUUUGCUUGAAACGUGAGAGCGUCUGAUUCACCCCACUCUCCACAGUCCAAUCAAACAGUAGAAACAUUUUUACCACACUUUAUUAUACCUAUUUUCCUCAUUCUAUUUUACAUAGGUUUUUAUUAUUAUUAUUAUUAUUAUUAUUAUUAUUACUACUACUACUACUACUACUAUGGUUUUAUUAUCGUUUAAGCCUUUUUUCAUUUUCUAUUCACCCUGUGUUGCUUCUUGUGACUUUAUCUUUUUUUGCCUUUAUAGGACUUUAAAGUUUCCUUCCAUAACAUUUGUUUAUUUCCUGCAUUAAUGAACAUUAAAUGAGCAUAAAUAAACUAAGUAAUGUUGACGCGACAGUAGUUCUAGCUUGAACAGAAAUCGCAGCGGUAUAUCAACGGACUGACUCUAAUGUGUUAUCGUUUCCAUAGCGACAGCUCAUUCAGAGGGACGAAUGACAAUAAAUAAAAUAAUAAACAGUUGGGUUUAAAAAUUUUAUUAUUUUUUUUUUUUUAAGUGUUGUUACUUAACGAUGAAAAACGUAUCAUCGUUGAUUUGGCGACGUUUUCUAUAUGGGAAUAUUUAUGUAACGUUUAGGGAAGGAGUCUCCAGUGUCAGUAACAGUCUUCUGUCACUAUAAACGGCUAAAACAUCCGAUGCGUCAUGGAUUGAUACAUUAAAAACCGUCAUUGUUGGGAAAUAGUCCUCCGCUUGGUGUCAGGAAGUAUCACAUGACCUCAGUGUGGAUUAUAUUUGGAACACCACCCGUGUUAUUCCUUACUGGAAUGAUGACACGUGAAUCACAUGCUCCUGCGCUGACUGUUUAUUCAAUCGUAAAUUAGCGCUAAUUAAAUGCUAGCAUGUCGCUGAAUGUUGAUCGUUCACUGAAGGUGUAAAUAUUACAACGUUUACAGCUGAGCUCUGAGCGCCGACACAAAACCUGGUAGGCGUCUUCAGGACCACGUCCUGAGGCUAUGCAACAAAUUGCGAGCAGCACCACCUACUGGUCAAAAGUUACAAUAACAUGCCAAAAAUGCCAUUUUCGCUGCGAAAUUUUGUCCAAUCUUCAUCGAAUUUGGCUCACGUCAUCUUGAGACCCGUCUAAACUGGCUACUGCCAUUCUAGCCAUUCAACUUGCUAUCGAACAAACACGAGACUGACAGGGUUACUAUAAAAUAGCAUUCUUAAUGUGUGAUUACAACGGCACUGCUUUGCUGUCAUUGCUUACGCAACCAUUGCAACGUGUCUGUGAAUGUGCGUCUCACGGAGUCUGGGUGCUUCUCCCCCGAAAAUGCUUAAUGUUUUAAUGAUCCUUAAUGUUCUUUAUGUCUUGUGUUUACGCUUAGUAUUUACUUCCUUGUUUUAGCUUUACAUGCCCCCAAACUAAAGCAAACAAAUUCAUUAUUUUAACAUUUAUUCAUUGAUCGCGUGCUAACAUAACCAAUGCUAGUCUACAAUACAGCAUUAAAUCAUAGUCAAGUCCCUUCGAUAGCCUAACCCAAUCUUAUUAUUCUGUUAACUGACCAAAAGAAAUGGUGUGCGUGCGUGUGUGUGUGUGUGUUUCAUCCUAGUAUCUAUAUUUAGUAAUAGCCUUAAAAGUGGUGUCAGUGAUUUUGUUCAGAUCUUUCGGCAAAACUGCCCCGAAACUCCAAAAACACCAAAUCCUUGUCCUGAUUGGUUGUAUGUUAGUGGUUCACUUUCGGUUAGAGCCUGAGUGGACACAAAACCGAGACUGGAGGUUUUUACUCCAAGCAGAUAUUUUUAUUAAAGGGUAAUAAUAAUAAUAAUAAUAAUAAUAAUAAAGCGUCUCCCUCAGAGCCUCAGAGACUUCAUACACGCACCUACACGUAUCACACAUACCUAGUUUUCAUUCAGUUGAACUGAGGGAUAGGAAACGCACAUUAUUCCUUCAUCAGUCAUCCCUUAAUGUCCAUUUGCAUUCAAGGCAGCAUCGGUUACAGAACACACAGUACUCGUGUAGUGGAGUAAAGUGGUGGCGCUUGCCAGGGAGGAAGAGGAUGAAGGGGGCAGUGAUGGAGGAGACUCCACCUUUGUUGGAGAAGAAAGAGAUUUUGAGAAAAAUAAAAUCUAGGGAGAAUUUAUUUUAAAAC